rnacentral:rRNA from 1 species
AACGAACGCUGGCGGCAUGCCUAACACAUGCAAGUCGAACGAGACCUUCGGGUCGAGUGGCGCACGGGUGAGUAACGCGUGGGAACCUGCCUUUAGGUUCGGAAUAACUCAGAGAAAUUUGAGCUAAUACCGGUUGAUGUCUUCGGACCAAAGAUUUAUCGCCUUUAGAUGGGACCGCGUUGGAUUAGCUAGUUGGUGGGGUACAGGCCUGCCAAGGCGACGAUCCAUAGCUGGUCUGAGAGGAUGAUCAGCCACACUGGGACUGAGACACGGCCCAGACUCGUACGGGAGGCAGCGGUGGGGAAUAUUAGACAAUGGGCGAAAGCGUGAUCCAGCAAUGCCGCGUGAGUGAUGAAGGCCUUAGGGUUGUAAAGCUCUUUUGCCCGAGAUGAUAAUGACAGUAUUGGGAGAAUAAGCUCCGGCUAACUCCGUG